AGUUGCAAUGCCCCAUUGAGGCAGUAGACUGACCUCACGUGACUUUUGGGAAUGAACACUGAGACCAUCAACCCUAUCAAUGAGGGUUAAAAAAACAACGAAGUACCACCUGACAACUUCAAAUUAUUUAUUGAUUCCUGAAAAGGAAAAUGAAAGGAAGCUGGCCAAAGCCACGGAGUGUCAGUUGAAUAAGUUAUCAAGAGUCUUCUUGGACUGACGAUGCGGCUACAUUUGCAGCACUUAGCAUCUUCUGCCUUGGAGGAGAGCUCCUGGUGGGCGCUCAGCCCACCUGCUUCAACUGCAAGCUCACUGAAGACAGAUGCCCCAGUUUGGCAUGGUGCCUGGCUGGCAGGAGGGCUCUUUUCCUCUUUUGCAGACUGUUGAUGCAGCCUCCUAAGUACCCUCUCUGUCUCCCAUCUUAGCUCCUCCAGUCCACCCUACAGUCUUCCUAAGACACUGACUGAUCAGAUCCUCUGACUCUGCUGGAACACCUCAGGGACUCUCCACAGCUACAGCAAUGACUUCCCAAGAGUGCCCUGGGGCACAUCAGUCCCAAGAGAUGCUCCUGAAGAAACAGCUUAGGGCCAAAAUAAAUUUAGAAAAUGCUCUUUACUGAAGCUCCACAGCCCUUGGAGAUUCAUAUUCCCCAUGAGCAUAAUAAGGGAUCUGAGAAGUCCUGCAAGGUUAGCAUGCAGCGAGAUUAGCAUAUUUGAACAGUUUUCCGAAGCUUUUUCCAUCACAGGCAAUCUUUUUGCAAGCAAUGUCUACAAACAGCCCAAUGUCUACAAACAGCCCAAGACAUAGUCCCACAGAACAUACUUUGGGAAGCAGUGAGCUGCGUGGUAGAGCCUGAAGUUCAGUCAGGGAAGGGAAGGGCAGCAGUUGUGUGAUGAGUCCCUGCCCAAGGGAACAUGGUCUGUGGGAGACUGAGGUGGCUCAGGGUGCAAAAGGGAAGGUGCUGGCUGUGUGCAGACAUGACAGAGACUUGUGGGUCAGGAAAGUCCAUCAGCAGCUCUCCUCUCUGCCUUCAGUCUCUUCGUCUAGACACAGAUGUCCUGGGCACGUGUGUGUUUCUGGACCUGGCACAUCCUGAGUGAAUCUUGGCCUCUUAAUGAACCCAGCAGCCUCCUGCUACAGAGUCACUGAGAUGUUGUGCAGUUAUGACAUGCCCUCCCACCACAAAAGAACAUUCCAGCUUGUCCAGGGGAUGGUCACGGAGGCCAGUGCUCCACCGGAUCCUCAGCAGCAGGAGCCUUCUGUGGUAGGAAAAGCAUGGGCAUCGGAGGCCGAGUCCGGGGCUCCCAUCCUGAUCCAUCACUGACUAGGUGCUGUGGGGCCUUGGAGACGUGGUUUCACCAUAUUGGCCAGGCUGGUCUCAAACUCCUGACCUUGUGAUCCGCCCGCCUUGGCCUCCCAAAGUGCUGGGAUUAUAGGCAUGAGCCGCUGCACCCCGCCCAGGUUGAGGUUUUUGAAGAGCAUCACCUUUGCAGGUGAGAAACGCUGCAGGCAGGAAUCCAGCCGUCAUUCUUGACACCACCCUUAUCUAAUCCCCUGCCAACAGCUAGUUCAAGCCAGCAUCAGCUCUCUCCUGGACCACUGCCACCGCCUUCUAACAGGAUUCCCACCUCCACCUCCACUGUCAUUACCCCCGAUCUACAGCCAACUUGAGAUGAUCAUGUCACCCCCUCCAUACCCAACACAACUCCAAAAUGCAAAGAGGCUUCCUCUGUUCUUGGAUCAAGGGUUUAAACAUGACCUAGAAGGCCUC
rnacentral:lncRNA from 1 species